CAGAGCUGUGGGUGGCAGAGGGGCUUCGGAAGUGGGUAUUCCAAGGGCUGGGAGUCUGCCCAGCUCCCUGAGGUGCCAUCUCUGCAGGGUGACCCGGGUGGCCUCUCGCUGCAGGGCUUCCUCGCUUCUCCUUGGGUGGACCGCUCGGUGAUUCUCCGCUCGCCCUCCCCCGAGGCCUGAAUGCACCCUGCUCCGAGGGCAGCUGUUCCCACGCC
rnacentral:lncRNA from 1 species